rnacentral:rRNA from 1 species
GGGGAAUAUUGCGCAAUGGGCGGAAGCCUGACGCAGCGACGCCGCGUGAGGGAUGAAGGCCUUCGGGUUGUAAACCUCUUUCAGCUCCGAAGAAGCGAGAGUGACGGUAGGAGCAGAAGAAGCACCGGCUAACUACGUGCCAGCAGCCGCGGUAAUACGUAGGGUGCAAGCGUUGUCCGGAAUUAUUGGGCGUAAAGAGCUCGUAGGCGGCUCGUCGCGUCUGCUGUGAAAGCCCGGGGCUUAACCCCGGGUCUGCAGUGGGUACGGGCGGGCUAGAGUGCGGUAGGGGAGACUGGAAUUCCUGGUGUAGCGGUGAAAUGCGCAGAUAUCAGGAGGAACACCGGUGGCGAAGGCGGGUCUCUGGGCCGUAACUGACGCUGAGGAGCGAAAGCAUGGGUAGCGAAC